ensembl:lncRNA
AUAUUAUAGACAAUGACGUGGAUGGAGAGACUGUUGACAUCGGAAUGACUGAGUCUAUGAUUUCAUUCCUCUUUGAGGGAUCAUUUAAAAAAACAAGCAAAAUUCCAUGGAUUUGUUCAGCAGAUGAAGGAGACAGUGACAUUAACUCUUGAACCUGUGCCUGAAAGCCAGUCAAGAGCUGGAGCAAGUAAUAUCAGCCCGUCAACAGCUUUCCCUGAAUUUUUUGAAGUUCUGAAGUUCCCAUUUGAAGUUCAGGCCAAGUUGGACCGAAAAGAAUGCAGACUAACGUCAUCAGACCGAAACAAAAUUAUUAGAACGUUGUAUGAAAGCGUGGCUCAGUACAAAAUGUAUCUAACUACAGAAGAGUAUGUUCAAGUGGCUAAGGCCCUGACUCUGAGCACACUUGGCACGUCUCUGAAACGCAAGUUUAAAUUUGAGCGGACACCUUUGGCUGAUGUUGAAGAAGUGAAAAGACUUUGGUCAUUCAAAAAAAGUCUGCAACCUGAAGAAAGCAGUUGCAAAGAAAUUACAAGGCCUUUGGAGAAUAAUGCUGUUGGAGAGGAUGCUACAUCAAUAGAGGGACAUGUGAAAGUCCUGCAGGACCAAUAUAGAAGGACACAGUCAGAGACUCACAUUGUUGAAUAUCGAAUGAGGAGGAACUUUGCCUGGAGGCGGCAGGAGAUUACUAGUGGUAUGACUGUUGAAGAUGUCAACAAAUAUCCAUCAGGGCCUUAUCAAGAAAUUGGUUUCCUGUAUAAAUGUGUUCAACUGAGCCGCCACUUUCGAGAACAUUUUGGACACAUUACAUCCAGCGUGCUACGGCUUGCUCAAGGGAAAUCCCCUUUAGCAAAGCUGCACAAAGAAGCUAGAGAAGAAUCUCUCAUUGAAGACCAUCUUGUGACUCCUAAACUUUUAUUUAGCACUUUAUUAAGCCUAUCAAAUUCUUGCCUUUGAUAGAGUUUUACAUAUUUGUUUGUGUAUCACAUUUUAUGUUCCAGGAAUUGAUUUUAAAGCAGCACUUCUCGUGUUGCCAGCCUUGUUCAGAGAAAAACUUGAACAUUUCAUUGUGCUUGGAGAGGUGCGUAUAUAGUACUCUGUUUUAAAUUUCUGUGCAAUUCUUAAACUGUUUUUUGGCCAAAUGCAAAUGGGUGAAUAUUAAUUAUCUUAGUCUUUAUGCAUGUCAAUUUUCUCUCCAUCAGUUUAGUCAACUGCUGAGAAAAUUUUACUGAUACAGAAUCUGUUUUUUGCUUUGUCAUUUAGAGUGAACCAUCUUCACCAUAUCAUACUGUUCAAGUAGAGGAGACCACUGACUGGAAAACUGUGUUUACAAGAAGAGUCACUGCAGUCAUCAGAGUUGAUGGGAUCGAGAUAGACGAACGGUGUGGAUGAAGGGGCUCUUGCAGCAUUUUGUGCUUAUUUCGUCUUCAAUUUGACAUAUCCAUCCCAUUUGAAGAACACCCUGGUGUUUCUUCAGUGGUAUGUUUUGAGAGUUACUGUGGAUGGUGACAAGCCUCUACCUACCCCAGUUACCAGAAUAAUCAACCUUCUUAACUCAACAUUCUUAACAUAGACACAGACUGGUUAUUGUGUGGCAAGCUUUUAAUUCCUGGGGUUUUUUUGUCGUCAUUUUUACUCAUACUGUGUGAAAUGAGAAUGAAUGGACUGUCCUCUUGCCAGGUGAAGAGGUUGAUUACCAGGCAUUAGAUACCUACAAUGUUGAUGACAAGUUAUUUAUUAGCACUAGAUAUUCUUGCUGAAGACAAACUGCUGCAAACUUCAAAAUGUGCAGUACUUGAUGUAGCCUGUGUAAUAAGGCUGCUUUACUUGUUUGAGUUUUUCAUUGAAGAGCUAGUUUUUUCUUGACACGCUGUUGUGAGAUGUAAUGAAAUCUUUUUAAAAGAACAUUUCUAAAUAAAAUUGUGUAUUUGUCAGCCA